rnacentral:rRNA from 1 species
GAUGAACGCUAGCGGCAGGCUUAACACAUGCAAGUCGAGGGGUAACAGAGUAGCUUGCUACUGCUGACGACCGGCGCACGGGUGCGUAACGCGUAUACAAUCUGCCUUACACUGGGGGAUAGCCUUUGGAAACGAAGAUUAACACCCCAUAACAUCUUAGUAUCGCAUGAUACAUAGAUUAAAGGUUACGGUGUAAGAUGAGUAUGCGUCCUAUUAGCUAGAUGGUGUGGUAACGGCACACCAUGGCAACGAUAGGUAGGGGCCCUGAGAGGGGGAUCCCCCACACUGGUACUGAGACACGGACCAGACUCCUACGGGAGGCAGCAGUGAGGAAUAUUGGACAAUGGAGGGAACUCUGAUCCAGCCAUGCCGCGUGCAGGAAGACUGCCCUAUGGGUUGUAAACUGCUUUUGUACGGGAAGAAACACUCCUACGUGUAGGGGCUUGACGGUACCGUAAGAAUAAGCAUCGGCUAACUCCG